GGUUAUGGUUGAAGAUAACAUUACAGUUCGUUUUUGUUGGGCUGUCAUUCGUGAAAGUCGAAUUAACCUGAUGCUUACGG
rnacentral:tRNA from 1 species